rnacentral:rRNA from 1 species
CGAACCGACUUACGUUGAAAAGUGAGCGGAUGAACUGAGGGUAGCGGAGAAAUUCCAAUCGAACCUGGAGAUAGCUGGUUCUCUCCGAAAUAGCUUUAGGGCUAGCCUCAAGUGAUGAUUAUUGGAGGUAGAGCACUGUUUGGACGAGGGGCCCCUCUCGGGUUACCGAAUUCAGACAAACUCCGAAUGCCAAUUAAUUUAACUUGGGAGUCAGAACAUGGGUGAUAAGGUCCGUGUUCGAAAGGGAAACAGCCCAGACCACCAGCUAAGGUCCCAAAAUAUAUG